rnacentral:ribozyme from 1 species
AAAAAAAAAAUAUGGAUUAGCGAAUACUAAGAAAGACAGGAACAACAACAGCAUUUCUUCGUUUCCCUUUCUACUUUCUCCCUUUUCUCCCAUUCCUUUCUGUCCACUUUCUCCCUCAGAAAAAAGGGACGAAAAAACCCCUCCCUUCCUCCCUCUUCCCAUGAACAAGAGAGCUUCUUUCUAAGAACAACAACAAUAAUGAUAAUUGGUGAACCUUCUUCUUCUUUUUCUUCUUUUGUUGAUUUUAUGAGAAAACAGCAAGAA